GAUGAACGCUGGCGGCGUGCUUAACACAUGCAAGUCGAACGGAAAGGCCCAAGCUUGCUUGGGUGCUCGAGUGGCGAACGGGUGAGUAACACGUGGGUGAUCUGCCCUGCACUUUGGGAUAAGCCUGGGAAACUGGGUCUAAUACCGGAUAGGACCAUCGUUUAGUGUCGGUGGUGGAAAGUUUUUCGGUGUGGGACGAGCUCGCGGCCUAUCAGCUUGUUGGUGGGGUAAUGGCCUACCAAGGCGUCGACGGGUAGCCGGCCUGAGAGGGUGUACGGCCACAUUGGGACUGAGAUACGGCCCAGACUCCUACGGGAGGCAGCAGUGGGGAAUAUUGCACAAUGGGCGCAAGCCUGAUGCAGCGACGCCGCGUGGGGGAUGACGGCCUUCGGGUUGGAAACUCCUUUCGCCAAGGACGAAGCGUUUUGUGACGGUACUUGGAGAAGAAGCACCGGCUAACUACGUG
rnacentral:rRNA from 1 species